rnacentral:tRNA from 1 species
GGGGAUUUAGCUCAGUGGUAGAGCGCUCGCCUAGCAAGCGCGAGGCCCUGGGUUCAGUCCCCAGCUCCG